UGCUGCAAGGAAGAGAACUUUUCUCACUCUGAAUGUUGAACAUCAGAGAGUUCCUCCUGUUGGUUUAAACCUUGUUGUAGAGAUGGAACUUUGGCUGUGGAUUAUUCUGGCUGCUCUUUUAUUAGAGUGUAAAGGAGAAGACAGAGUGAUCCAGCCAACAGAAGAUGUCUUUGCUUCUGAAGGAGACACAGUCACACUUGAUUGUAAAUUUGAGACAACUGACACAACCCCCUCUUUGUUCUGGUACAGACAAGAAAUGGGUGAUUUCCCAAAGUACCUGUGGAAAAGCUAUGGAAGUUUUUCAGGAAAUGCUCCUGGGAUCUCGGAAGACAGAUUUAAAGCUGCAAAAAAUGGUACAUCAGUUCCUCUGAAGAUCCAGAAGCUUCAGCUGAAUGACUCUGCUGUGUACUACUGUGCUCUGAAGCCCACAGUGACAGGAAACACCACAACUCUGUACAAAAACCUCUGGAGAGAAGACAACACAAUACUCUCCCACAUCCACUAGAGAAAGUCACUGUUCAAACAUACUGUUCAUAGUCUGAUUGAAAUAUCAAAACUUGAGCUUUUCUUACAUUUCAAGGAGGAGCACAGUUUAAAGUUAAGACGUCACUUUUUAGCUGUUAUGACACACUGACCAAUUGCCUAUUUAACAACUCAGCAGCCUGUCAUGGGGUCUUUGAUGACACGUGGAUGAUUGCAUCGUCGACAUACAACUGGCAACAAACAUCUUCACAGCUGUCUGGUAGUUGGUUAAUGUAUAGGCAAAAGAGCAGCGGCCCCAGAAUGGAGCCUUGUGGUACGCCAACAUUACAGUGUUGAGGGGAUGAUAUUGAACUAUUGAUUUUAACUCAUUGCUUUCAAAAUUCCAGACAUGACUUAAAUCACCUGAGAGCUUGA